GUACUGUCAACAUUUGCCUUUAAAAUCAUAACCGUCAUUGAUGUCACCGUCCAUUCAAUUGCAACAACCCUUACCAUCAUCCAGCCUACAACCACAUUCGCUGCCAUCCUCUGGUUACAUCGCAACUACUUGGUUCUCCCGCACUAUCACCAAUGGAAGUGUUUCAAGGUCGUCACACAUGGCUUUCGCAAAGGUGGAGAU
rnacentral:lncRNA from 1 species